rnacentral:rRNA from 1 species
AUUGAACGCUGGCGGCAGCCCUUACACAUGCAAGUCGAGCGAGAAAGUUUCUUCGGAAGCGAGUAAAGCGGCGGACGGGUGAGUAACGCGUAGGAAUCUACCAUUCAGUGGGGGAUAGCUCGGGGAAACCCGAAUUAAUACCGCAUAUACCCUAAGGGGGAAAGAGGGCCUAUCCUUGGAAGCUCUUGCUGUUUGAUGAGCCUGCGUGAGAUUAGUUUGUUGGUGAGGUAAUGGCUCACCAAGACUACGAUCUCUAGCUGGUCUGAGAGGACGAUCAGCCACACUGGGACUGAGACACGGCCCAGACUCCUACGGGAGGCAGCAGUGGGGAAUAUUGGACAAUGGGGGCAACCCUGAUCCAGGCAUGCCGCGUGUGUGAAGAAGGCCUUCGGGUUGUAAAGCACUUUAGGUAAGGAAGAAAAGUUAUUGGUUAACACCCAAUGACCGUGACAUUACUUACAGAAUAAGGACCGGCUAACUCCGUGCCAGCAGCCGCGGUAAUACGGAGGGUCCAAGCGUUAAUCGGAAUUACUGGGCGUAAAGCGCGCGUAGGCGGUUUGACAAGUUGGGUGUGAAAUCCCCGGGCUUAACCUGGGAACUGCAUUCAAAACUUUUAAACUGGAGUACGGGAGAGGAGAGUAGAAUUCAUGGUGUAGCGGUGAAAUGCGUAGAUAUCAUGAGGAAUACCAAUGGCGAAGGCAACUCUCUGGACCGUAACUGACGCUGAGGUGCGAAAGCGUGGGUAGCAAACAGGAUUAGAUACCCUGGUAGUCCACGCCGUAAACGAUGACAACUAGCCGUUGGACUUUCGGGUUCAGUGGCACAGCUAACGCAUUAAGUUGUCCGCCUGGGGAGUACGGCCGCAAGGCUAAAACUCAAAUGAAUUGACGGGGGCCCGCACAAGCGGUGGAGCAUGUGGUUUAAUUCGAUGCAACGCGAAAAACCUUACCAACCCUUGACAUCUAGUGAAAUUUCUAGAGAUAGAUUUGUGCCUUCGGGACACUAAGACAGGUGUUGCAUGGCUGUCGUCAGCU